UACGUAGGGUGCAAGCGUUAAUCGGAAUUACUGGGCGUAAAGCGUGCGCAGGCGGCUUUGCAAGACAGAUGUGAAAUCCCCGGGCUCAACCUGGGAACUGCAUUUGUGACUGCAUGGCUAGAGUGCGGCAGAGGGGGAUGGAAUUCCGCGUGUAGCAGUGAAAUGCGUAGAUAUGCGGAGGAACACCGAUGGCGAAGGCAAUCCCCUGGGCCUGCACUGACGCUCAUGCACGAAAGCGUGGGGAGCAAAACGG
rnacentral:rRNA from 1 species